GAGCUGCAAUCCCUGAACCAACGAUACCAAGUACAAGAAACUCAGGUACAAAAGCUGCAGGAUCAGAACCAAGGUAUGUAGUUUAGUUUUACUAAAAAUGUUUUCUACAGAGUUUUGAAGAAGUUUUUAUACCCCAUGACUUUUACAUAUUUUAUUACGUUACAAUCACAAAUUUAAUGUUUAUUUUUUAGGUUUUACUUGAUAAACUAACUCAGACUAACUCUUGAUUGUGAAUUACAGAAACAUUUAUUCAAGAUCAAUUAUUAAAUCAUCAUUUUGUUGAUCUGUCUUCUGGCCCUAAUAAAAUCAUGGAAGAUAUUUGUGAUUAUAAACAGUUUUAGUAGCAGGAAGAAAUUUCUGUUCCAAACAAAUUCAGGUUUUUAAUUCUAAUAAACAUUUCCUCAGAUUAAUUAGUCUAAAGAAAAUCUUUGAAUUGAUUCCAUCUCUUUGGUAAUUCUCUCA